GAUGAACGCUGGCGGCGUGCCUAAUACAUGCAAGUCGAGCGAAGCGGGGACGGGUGAGUAACACGUCGAUAACCUCCUAUAAGACUGGGAUAACUUCGGGAAACCGGAGCUAAUCCGGAUUCUUAUACAUGGUUCCACGCUGCAUUAGCUAGUUGGUAAGGUAACGGCUUACCAAGGCAACGAUGCAUAGCCGGCCUGAGAGGGUGAUCGGCCACACUGGAACUGAGACACGGUCCAGACUCCUACGGGAGGCAGCAGUGGGGAAUAUUCCGCAAUGGGCGAAAGCCUGACGGAGCAACGCCGCGUGAGUGAUGAAGGUCUUCGGAUCGUAAAGCUCUGUUAUUAGGGAAGCGGUACCUAAUCAGAAAGCCACGGCUAACUACGUGCCAGCAGCCGCGGUAAUUC
rnacentral:rRNA from 1 species